rnacentral:misc_RNA from 1 species
GGAUGAAGAACGUAGCGAAAUGCGAUAAGUAAUGUGAAUUGCAGAAUUCAGUGAAUCAUCGAAUCUUUGAACGCACCUUGCGCUCUUUGGUAUUCCGAAGAGCAUGCCUGUUUGAGUGUCAUGAAAAUAUCAACCUUGACUUGGGUUUUGUGCUCUAGUCUCGGCUUGGAAUUGGGUGCUUGCCGCUUUUACGAGCGGCUCACCUUAAAUGUAUUAGCUGGAUCUGUCUUUGAGACUUGGUUUGACUUGGCGUAAUAAGUAUUUCGCUAAGGACAUUCUUCGGAGUGGCCUCGUUUCUAGGACGCUUGUCCGCUUUCCAAUACAAGUUCCACCUCGUGGACAUGACUUUUUAUUAUCUGGCCUCAAAUCAGGUAGGACUACCCGCUGAACUUAAGCAUAUCAAUAAGCGGAGGA